rnacentral:lncRNA from 8 species
CGUUUCUUCUGGAAAAUAAUGUAUAGAUAAUGCAUUUGGGUUAUGUUCUUCUUUGAGAAGGAUGCAGAAUUCCAUUCAAUUUUGUUAUCUCUCUCUCUCUCGCUCUCUCUCUCUUUGUGUGUGUGUUUGUUCUAUGUAACACACUACCUACCCAGUCACCCUCCAGAAUGAAGCCGAGGGCGGAAGAGGGGGAAGUUAGUUGUGACAGAGGAUGAGGGGGGAGAUGCUAGAAGGCAGAGAUCAAGGCUAGAAGACUUGUCACACCCACCAACCUUGGCCCUGGGACGAUGACGUCGUUUUAAUGUGGUGAUCGUGAUUGAUCCUGAGAGACGACGAGAGAGAGGAUACUAUUCAUCCGGCGGUUGGUUCAGUUGAGCUGAUCCCGUUGGGCGCUUGGCUAUUAGGAAGGAAAAUGGCGGGUCUGUCACAGACGAAUGCAAUGAGACGGCCUAAAGAAUGACAUUUCGGUGUGGACGUCUGCUUGCAAGGAGCUCAACCUCGUUACAUCACAUUGGAAAGAUAUAUCAUGGCGGUCAUGGCGGCCUGCAAUGCAAACUAGUUUUGGCGUCUCUCCAUAUGCGCAACAUGGCAAGGGGAUGGGCGGCCUAUGCGUAAUCCUGAAUGUGGGUAGCCUGUCUGUUUUAUUUACUCGGCAUGAUGGUAAAUAUAUUACUAGACUGAAUAAAGUUUAAAGACGUAAAACAUAAAUGUGCCUGUGCUUAUUUUAUACUAAAUACAAAUCAACAGCUAUUUAGUAAUAUAACGAAUGGAAAGGACAUACCUACGAGCAAAUGAAACAUUCCCUACGUCUGUGUGUGCGCGCACGCUUAAGUAGGCCUAUACAUAUGUGCGUAAAGAUCC